AGGGGUGUAGCUCUAAUUGGCAGAGCAGCGGAUUCCAAAUCCGCCUGUUGGGAGUUCAAAUCUCUCCACCCCUG
rnacentral:tRNA from 1 species